rnacentral:rRNA from 1 species
ACUCCUACGGGAGGCAGCAGUGGGGAAUAUUGGACAAUGGGGGGAACCCUGAUCCAGCCAUGCCGCGUGUGUGAAGAAGGCCUUAUGGUUGUAAAGCACUUUAAGCGAGGAGGAGGCUACUGAGACUAAUACUCUUGGAUAGUGGACGUUACUCGCAGAAUAAGCACCGGCUAACUCUGUGCCAGCAGCCGCGGUAAUACAGAGGGUGCGAGCGUUAAUCGGAUUUACUGGGCGUAAAGCGUGCGUAGGCGGCCAUUUAAGUCAAAUGUGAAUCCCCGAGCUUAACUUGGGAAUUGCAUUCGAUACUGGAUGGCUAGAGUAUGGGAGAGGAUGGUAGAAUUCCAGGUGUAGCGGUGAAAUGCGUAGAGAUCUGGAGGAAUACCGAUGGCGAAGGCAGCCAUCUGGCCUAAUACUGACGCUGAGGUACGAAACGCAUGGGGAGCAAAUCAGGAUUAGAUACCCUGGUAGCUACGAGU